UACGUAGGGGGCAAGCGUUGUCCGGAAUCAUUGGGCGUAAAGAGCGUGUAGGCGGCCCGGUAAGUCCGCUGUGAAAGUCCAGGGCUCAACCCUGGGAUGCCGGUGGAUACUGUCGGGCUCGAGUCCGGAAGAGGAGUGGUGGAAUUCCUGGUGGUAGCGGUGAAAUGCGCAGAUAUCAGGAGGAACACCAAUGGCGAAGGCAGCACUCUGGGACGUGACUGACGGCUGAGACGCGAAAGCGUGGGGAGCAAACAGG
rnacentral:rRNA from 1 species